UACACUCCUACGGGAGGCAGCAGUGGGGAAUUUUGGACAAUGGGCGAAAGCCUGAUCCAGCAAUGCCGCGUGAGUGAAGAAGGCCUUCGGGUUGUAAAGCUCUUUUGUCAGGGAAGAAACGGUGAAAGCUAAUAUCUUUUGCUAAUGACGGUACCUGAAGAAUAAGCACCGGCUAACUACGUGCCAGCAGCCGCGGUAAUACGUAGGGUGCAAGCGUUAAUCGGAAUUACUGGGCGUAAAGCGUGCGCAGGCGGUUUUGUAAGUCUGAUGUGAAAUCCCCGGGCUCAACCUGGGAAUUGCAUUGGAGACUGCAAGGCUAGGAUCUGGCAGAGGGGGGUAGAAUUCCACGUGUAGCAGUGAAAUGCGUAGAUAUGUGGAGGAACACCGAUGGCGAAGGCAGCCCCCUGGGUCAAGAUUGACGCUCAUGCACGAAAGCGUGGGGAGCAAACAGGAUUACAUACCCGAGUAGUCCCA
rnacentral:rRNA from 1 species